rnacentral:rRNA from 1 species
GAUGAACGCUAGCGGCGUGCCUAAUACAUGCAAGUCGAACGGAACUUCUUUAUCCCCUAGUGCUUGCACUCACCGAUAAAGGGUUGUGUGACGAACGGAUGCGUCACACGACAGCAACCUAGCCACAAGAAAGGGGUAACAAUUCUCCACAAGACCUAGUACCGCAUAACCAUAAUGACUACACGGUAACGGUUCAAAAAGUGGCAAUCGUACGACUUUCUGAUGGGCGUGCGGAGGAUUAGCUAGUUGGCAGGGUAAAGGCGCACCAAGGCGGUGAUCAAUAGGGGUUCUGAGAGGAAGGUCCCCCACACUGGCACUGGGAUACGGGCCAGACUCCUACGGGAGGCAGCAGUAGGGAAUAUUGGACAAUGGUUGCAAGACUGAUCCAGCCAUGCCGCGUGCAGGAAGAAGGCCUUCUGGGUCGUAAACUGCUUUUUCCUGUGGAUAAAAUACCCGUGCGCGGGGAAUUGAAGGUAACAGGGGAAUAAGCCACGGCUAACUACGUG